rnacentral:lncRNA from 1 species
AGCACCGAAGAGCGCGCAGGAGCCGGCCGUGUGUGCGCGCUGGGUGCCGUGUGCUCACAGUGCCGGGAGCGGGAGGACAGCCGGGCAUCUCCUGGGCAGAACUAGAAGCGGAAGCUUCCGCUGAGGUGCCGAGCCCGGGAGAUGUGCCCGGCGCGCCUGUGCGGAUGUCACCUGUCGCUGGCGUAGCCCGGCCGCGCGUUACCUGUGUAUGUCUCGUCCUCACCGUCGGCCUCGUUUCCCGGCCCGAGACCCGGCGGCCGCGGUGCUCCGGGAGCGGGGCCCGGCCUGGCCCGGAGGGCCUCCCUUCGCUCACCCCGAACCCGGCGUCGGGCAGGGGCUGCGAGGCACGCGCGGGCGGGUCCCUCGGGGGCCCUGGGAGGCCGCCGCUGGGCAGCAUGUCGCGUGGCGCAGGGGACCCCAGCGGGCGGGACCCGAGGGCUCCGCGUUCUGGAGGGGUCCCAGCCCCGCCACCCUGGGGUGCGCUUCUGCGGCGGAGACACCUGGACCGCCGGCCCCGCUGCCGGCCUGGGCACACCCGGGACCUCUCACAGCCCCCGCCAUGGGGGGUCGAGCACGUGCACAGUCCCGAACCCCUCUCUCAGCGUCCCCGAGCGCUCCGGCCUCGAGGGACGGAGUGUGUGCGUAGGUGACAGUGCCUGGAGCCUCGGACACAACGGACAGGGCUGCCCGCGGCACCUCAGCAUUCACCGGCCUCUGGCCUCUUUCCCACCAUGAGUAAACCCUCAGUGUCCCCUCAAAGAAGGGAGCCAACAGUGAGGACAGUUGAGGUUAAUUUUUUUUAACUAGUAUUUGUUUUUUAGACUAGUUUUAGAUUUACAGAACAAUUGAGCAGGUGGUCCAGAGGGUUCCCGCUGUUGUGAGCAUCUUAGGAUGCCAUCAGGAUCCCACAUAACCUCUAGUCUCGUGUCUCCUGAGGCUCCGCUUGGCUGUGACAGUCUCUCAGACUGUCCUUGGUUUCUGUGACCUUGGCGCUUGGGAGAGGUGCCGGCGGCUGUUCUGUAAGAUGUCUCUCUCUCUGGAUUUGUCUGAGGUUUUUGUCGUGGUUAGACUGGGGCACUGGUUUGGGAAGAAGACCGCAGAGAUAAAGUGCCAUUCCCGUCUCAGUGUAUCAAGGGUCCUUGCCACCAACAGGACCCAUCCCUGCUGAAGUUGACCUUGGUCGCCUGCCUGAAGAAGUGUCGUCUCCACUGUCAAGGUACCGCGUUCUCGCCCUGUCCACACUGUGCCUUGUGGAAGGAAGUCACUGUGCACAGCCCACACUUAAGGGGCCUCUUCAGGGAGAGUCCUAAUAAACUACCUGGAAGUCUUCCACGUGGAGGGUUGGGGAGAUUUGUCUCUUCUCCCCAGUUGUUUAUGCGAUCACUUACUUGUGUCAUGGGUUCUUAUUUUGUACUGAAAGCUUGGGAGGGAGUGUGGUCUCACCAGGUCUGUGUGCCCUUGCGUGUGCACACAAGCGUGUGCGAGCAUUUAGUUCCAGGCAGCUUUAUCACAUGUGUCAGCUCAUGUACUCAUCUUGGCCGUCAAGACACGGAACUGCCCGGUCACCACGUGGCUCCCUCCUGCUGCCCUCUCGUGGCCACAGCCCCCUCCCUCCCCCCACCCACCUGGCCAGUGGGAUCCAGACUGUGCCUCCUCCCCAAUCCUCCAGUGUGGCUCCCCACCCUCCUGGGCUCAGCCGGAAGGCUCUUGGUGACGGGGACGGAUGUGACUCCUGAGUCACUGCUGACCACUGGCUCCGGCUCUCUCUGGCCCUCCUUUGACCCUCCUCCUGGCCUGUGGACCCCUCUCUGGAUGGCUGCAGGCCACCACCCCUUUCUCUGGUUCUCCCUUCACGCCUUGAUCCCCUGACAAAGGAGCCACUACUGCUCCCGCACCCACCUUGUGUCACCUCUGGGCACGCAGCCCGCAGGAUGGGAUGUGUUUCCCAGGAGUCUCUCUCUGUCCCCCUCUGUCUCUGUCUCCCUCUACCCCUGCAUCUCUCUCUCCCCCUCACUCCUGCAUCCCCAGCACAAAGUGGACGCCUGGUGUGAGUCAGCUCCCUGCUCUUCCCUCUGCCUCUCCUGAGCCUGCCUGGCUCUGCAUGGGGACACUGGAUGUGGGACAUGUGGACAAAGGACACGAGACACAGGGACUCGGGGACUUGUGUUUCCUCUCACCUCCUGUCCCCCUGCCCGUACCUGUGCCCUGCCAGCCCCUGGAGCUUCUUCCUCCUCCACUUUGUACCUCUGCAAGUUGGGCCCCGGGAAGUGGUCAGGGCCCUGGGAUGAGGUGGGAGCCCCUGGGGCUCCUGGGGGUACCUCCUGAAAGCAGCUGGGUGUGUUAGGGGGUCAAGGCUGUGAGUUGUCAGUCAAGGUGAUGUUUGGGGCUCCUGUGGCCUGGGCCACCAGCAGGGACAGAACAGCAGGUGACCAUUGGUUUACCCAGUGAUUUAGUCUCCAUGGAGCCUUGGCCCCUCAUUGGACUGUCACCACGGGCCUGGCAUUGCUGUUAUUGUCAUUUUACAGUUGAGGAGUUUGUGCCUGAGAGAGACAGAGUGAAGGAGGCAGAGAGAGGGAGAGGCCGGCGUGGGGGGACCGAAGGAGGAGGAGGUCCCUCGGCCUCAGAAUCCUUGCUGCCAGUAGGGGGCUGGCACAAUGUGCACAGUGAGCUGCAUCCCUAGAGGGUAGGCAAGCUUGGCCCUUAUGGAAGGGCUCUCUGGAGGGCUGCCUGAGGGUGGUGUGGAUGUGGAAGUGAUUGGCUGGGAACGUUAGGCCCUCCAGCCCAGGGAGACCGCUUGUGGGUAAGACGUGGGUAGGAGCAGGAAUGAGACUGGGGUCCCCGAGUCAGCACCCCGACCUGUGUGCCUUUGCUCAAGGGGUGCCCACCCCCACGCUGCCUUCCUCUGCCCUCCCUGUGCCUCCCUUUCUCCUGAGUGCUUGCUCCACCAAGGCACUGAGGCAUCCGCGCCAGGUCACUCGGCCACUUGGGGAAUCGGUGCCGUGGCUGGCCCCCGGGGGGCCGCAGUGGGUGAAGGCCCAUCCAUAAUGAGUGUAGGCUGGACCUUGACCUGCAGAGCAACUGGGCGAGGGGCCGUGGGAAUGAAGACUCUGCUGGAGAAGGCUGGGCCGGGACGGCAGGAGGAACUGUGGAGCGGCUGCAGCAGAGGUGCAGUGCGGCGGCGGGAUGGGGGGUGGCAGUGGGCCUGGGGAGAGAGGGUCCAAGGGCAGCAGCCCUGGUGACCCGCUGGACAUGGGUGUGGCCAGGGGCAACAGAAGAGGCUAUGGCCAUGCUCUGGUCUGACCCAGGUCCCAGGCUGGAUCUUCACAGCCCUCCUGGCCAAGGGCACGGAGCCUCAGUGUCAGGGUCCCUGCAGGCUGACAUCAUGCUGUUUGUAACGAAGCUGGACCGAUCAGAGGGGACACGAGCCAGGUCUCCUUGCCCGGUGUGGGCCCGGCCUUCUCAGCAGGCCUGUCUCUUGUCUUCAUUAGGCCCAUUGUCUCAGAGCUACGUGGGGACUGGUGGCACUUCCCUGAUUAUCACAGCAGGAUUCUGGUUUCCAGAACAGGGGAGCUGGGCCGACACCACCCGUGCAAGCUGGCAAGUUAAUAAGAUUUGCUUCUUUCUCGGAGUACCUGGUGUCAGUUUUGCUUUCAUGUAAAUAGGACAGUUGCUAUUGUCACCCUUGUACCACCUAUCUGUUGCCCCAGUAACAGCAGUCCACCCCUUCUUCACCCCCCUGCGCAGGGGCUCUGGUCUUGCCUGGGCCCUCGUGUGUCUGCCCCAGCUGAGGGCUCCGGGCUCUCACAGAUGUGGGAUAUGUGGGGUUGGCUGGAGGCUGGCUGGUCUGGUGUGGCUCCGGCUUCACAGCUCUGCCAGGCUCCACAGGGCAUCUCAUCCGCCCUGCAGCCAGCCUGUGCUUGUCCUCACGGUGGCCGAGGGUCCAAGACAGCAAGCAGUUGAGCAGACGUGUGCAGCACCGCAGGAGCCAAGGCUGGAGCUGGGGCCCUGUCUGUCCUCUGCAGCUGUGAAGCCGGGCUGAUUCUGGAUUCCAGGGUGGAGAGACUCGGCCUCUGGGAGGGGGCUGCAGAGGUGAUUGAGAGGGGCCAGGCAGAGGGAGGGAGCCGGAGUGGGGUCCACUCUCCCGACCUGGGGCAGCUAGGCUUUGGGACCAUGCCCAGCGCUGGUGUCGCAGUCACUGGCUGGGAGGAGAGGCCUGUGUGUGCAUGCACAUAUGUGUAAGCAUGCAUGUGUGUGGGCAGAUGCAAGCCCAUCUCUGAUGUGUGUUGCUUGCGUUCCUGCUGACAAUUGCCGGACGUCCUAUGGAGAGCCAGCGUCUGAGUCCAGAUGGGGUGCAGGGCAGGGGCUCCAACCUGGAGUCCGCAGCGCCCGACAGAGUGUGGUCUAGCUCUGCUGCCCAGAAGAGACCCCAAGGAUGCUCGCACAUGACCUUGUGCUGCAGAACGUUAAUGGGAACAUGUAUUAGUGACUGUUCUCCACGAGAGGAUCCUGUGAGGACCCGUGGACUCAGCAGGCCACAGUGGGGCACUAACCGAUUUGUCUGACUGGCUGAGGUCGGUGUCCGGCUGGCUCCAUCCCCCCACUGGAGGCUCCGGGCUCAGGAAGGCCUGCGGGACAUCUGGGCCCUGCCUUCCUAGGAGCAGCGGCCUGUGUGGGCUGGGAUCCGGCUGAUGCUGACCAGCCGCCCCUCCCCAGGUGGAGGAAUCUCGUGGGCCCUGAAGUGGAGGAGGAGGUCCUGGCCCGUCACUUUCCCUGCCUGCCCCCAAUUCUCUGUGUCGGCUGGAAUCAGGUUCCAUGGAGCUCUCCUCUCCAGGCAGGGAGUAGUAGUGAGCGAGAGAAUCUCCCUUUUGUUAGGACAUAAAGACUGGGAGCGGAUUUCUUUUAGUUCUUUUGUUUAGUUUUGUUAGGGCUGGGAUCCUAGACAUAAAAUGUUAUUCUGCUGGGAGCGGGAUAAUGGUGCUGCCAGCUUCUCCGCACACAUGGAGAAUAGGGAGGAUCUUCUGUUGUGUGGUCGCACUGAGCAGACGCCCCGGAGCGUCGCCUCGGAGGUGGCAGUACUGGGACGUCCUCUAAGCCCCCGCGGGUGCAGCCUGCUCCUUGACGUCAACACAGUGACCAAGGCCAGCUGCUCCUUAACAGCUGGGCUGGGGACAUGUUUGGGGGCCUGUGCAGAACAUGGAUAAUUGAUUUCAAAUAUAGCUCAAGAUAGAAAUUGUUAAAAAGACACCAAAUUUUUGGCCAAUGGAAGUAUGUGUGUUGUUUUCCAGUAGACCGCACGCAUCUCCAAAAAAUGUGUUCUGUAUAAUCCUCCAGCUGAGAUGGGGAGAGGAAAUCCAUCUCCAGGUUUCCCGGCACAGCUAGAUUGGAACAACACCCCUCCUAAAUCAGUGCUCAGGAAGGUCAAGUUCGAUAAAAAUCUCAGGGUUCUCGGUGAGGCCUGAGUUGCAGAACAUCGAGAAAGCACUUUGGUAUCAUUACUUAAAGUAUAUUGUGUGUUGCACACUUCGGUAGAAAUGGGACGCCUCGGGAGCCUGAAUGGAAAUGCCCUUUCUCAAAAGGGACACACUCCACAAUGCUUUUUUCAAAAACAUAAAAAUCUACUUAUUCCUGAAACACUUUAAUUUUACUCGGUAAUUUCCAGAAGCCCACAUGACAAUGAGGUGACGAAGCCCUGGAACCAGGUUCCAAGUUGGGUGCUGGCUCUUGUGGUGUGGGUGACCCUGGCCGCCCCUUCCUAGCUCUGACCACCGAGGGCAGGCCCUCCUCCUGCAGGUGCACCUGGAGCGAUCGUGGCUCCAUUCUUGAAGCUUGCUUCCUAAAACGCACUGCUUUUCAGGGGGACUUGACUUAGAAAUGAGACUUCAGAGCUCUGUAAUCGUGGUGUCGCACGCCUGCCUCAGAGGGAGUUACAGGGAGUCAGUGGAAGGUGGAAAUCAGAUCCUUGGUUCUAAUCAUGUUUUAGUUGCUUUGUGCCUAGAAGGAGGUCAGGUUUCAAAGUAUUUGCAUAUCGAUGUGGCCCGCCACUCCAGAUGAGAUGUUAAUUCCGGGUUUACUCCUUCCCUGAGUGUCCCUCGCCCCCAUUGCUGCAGGUGCCUCUCUUUAAUCCCCUGGGGUGGGGACGUCUGUGCCAGGGAGGGAGGUGGUGGGAGGCCCAGUCCCGCCUCCUGGGCUCUAGCCCUCGGGAGGGCAGGGCUGAUGGGGUUGGCAGAGGCGGGAGCCUGGUUGGGAGUGAGAAGGCGGACAGGGGAGAGGAGAGGAAAAGACUUCCCCACAAAAGGGAUCCUGCCUGGCUCGGGGAGCAGACAGAACUCAGGGGUCUCCCCAGAUGGUGAUGGGACACCACCCAGAAGGCAGGCGGGAGCAGCUGGACCCCUGACAUAAGGCUCACCUGGGGCAGAGCAGAGAUACCCCUGGUGGGGCUGUGGGGCUCCUUCCUCCUGACAUCUGGGCAUCAUGCCACAGGGAGACCCUGGGGUGACGGAGAC